rnacentral:lncRNA from 1 species
GUCACUACGUAUUUUCAUCCUAAUGAAACCCUAGCCGUCUCUUUUACUCAUUACUUUUUUCUAAUUUUUUUACUCUUUGUUUUCUACUCCUUUUUUUUUCAUUUCAUUUCCGCCAACAAUAUUUCAUUGUCAUCAUCAUCAUCAGUGUUAUCAUCAUCAUCAGCGACAAUAUUUCUUUUGAAUGAAUUUUAUUGGACGGUACAAUUUAUUAAAAUGCGAGUUUUUUUAUGGUGGGCUUUAUAGUUUGUCUAUUGACUAUUUAAUAAAGUUUAUAAAAAAAAUAUAUUAAUACGGAUAUUCGUACCCGAUCUAAACCCGAUCCAUAUCCGGUCUUGAACGGGUAGUAUACGGGUAGUCACUACCCAGACCCGCUCAAAUAGACCCGAUGGGUAUAUUAGUAACUUUAGUACCCAGAUCCGGACCCGACCCGAAGUUAAAUGGGUAGGGUAUAUAUAUUUUUUUAUAGCCAUUUCUUUUUAGGGUAUGGGUACAGUAUAUUAAUUAUUCAGACCCGACCCGGUCCACGGACAUCUUUACAAAAAAGUGUUUUGAUUUUUGGCCUUUUCAAAUUUAUCCUCUACCAUUACCAAUAUUUCUUAUUUGCUCCUAAGUUCAAGAUAAAAAAAGUAUUUUAAUUUUUUUCAACUCUUGAUAAAUACCGCCAAAGCCUAGUUAAUUCAACGGACGGUAACUAUAGAGGUAUUUUAGAAUAACGAAGGAACAUAUGAAGAAUAUAUUAAAAAAAAAGGAAUAAAUAAAAUAUUUUUAAAAUUUUGAGAAAUAUAUAGACAAUUAUCUCAUUUUAAAUCUAUCCUCCUAAAACUUCCAAAUGUCUUAAAUAUACCAUCAAAAUCUCUAUAAAUAUAGAAAUUUAUCAGCAAUAUCUUUCUAAAUGUAUAAAACUAUCACCGAAGCCUUCUAAUAGACAAGCCGAAUAUGAGCUCACUAGUGACCAACAAGUUAAAUUAUCAGCCCUACUACUGAAUGAGAAAUUUUUAAAAAAUAAAUAAAAAAUUAAAAUUUUAAUUUAAUAAUUAUAAUUUAUAAAAUAUAAAUUUUUUUACAUUCGGGUUGACCUGAAAUUUAAAAUAGUAGAAAUUUAAAAUACAUAUUCAAAGCAUAUCAAGCCGAAUACGAGCGAGCUGAUCUCAAUUCGUGUUCAGUUUAUUAAGAUUUUAAGUUAAAAAAAUUCGAUUAAAAUUUAAUUUUUUUGUAAAA